rnacentral:misc_RNA from 1 species
GAAUCAAACCUUUCUCUUCUUGUUAGGCAUCCAUUCUUGCUAGGAUAAUUUGGAUCGGCCAAAGUGCAAAGUGAAGGCAGAGUACCCAAAACACAAAUUAAUUUUAGGUAUUAGAUUAAUUAAGCCUAAAUAUAUUUAUCUCUGAUCUAAUUAAGGGUAGUCCAGUAAUUUUUGACGGAGUCAAAAUAGAGGAAGUAGAAGUAAAGAUGCGUUGAUUUUGACAUAACUCGGGAAAGAAAAAGUAAUUUACUCAUAUCCUUAUAUUGUAUAAGAAUUAUGGUUUCCUUACUCCUAGCUCACUCCAUUGUCCAUUCUUCUCAUGAAGGUCGUCUUAGUGAAAAAAGUGAUGUAUAUAGUUUUGGAGUU